UAUGAAAGUGGUCUAUAGGCAGAUGUAAUUGUGAGGGUUGCCCUCUCUGAUUGAUAAGCAUCCUAUAAAUACUCCUUGUCACUACAUGCUUUAGAAACUGUAGUUAAGUGCUGGCAGUAAAAUGCCAAAUGCUAGACUCCUUUAGACAAAUAUUUAGUACCUACAUGUAUCUAUCAAUAAAGAAAGAAACUAGAAUGACAGGGAUUGAUGUGAUCGAGUUAUUUGAUGAUGAAAAUAAGAGUAUAUUGCCUACCUGUAAAUCUUUUCAAUUCCUUUUUCUUUAAUUUUCAAUGCUGCAUGUGGACAUUGUAGUACAGUACUACUUACAUGAAUUAUUAGUUCAUGUCACUUUAAAAGACAACUUUUAUACAUUGUAUUUCAAACUAGUGGUACAGUUUUUCUCAAUUGUUUAAAUUUGAAAUUUAGUUGGGAUUAAUUGCUGUUAGUACAUGUUGGCAUUUCAGUGGGUGAAGAAAGGCAAUUAAGCUCAAAGAAAGGAAAACAGAAGAAAUGUGCUUCAUGUGGUGGAUUUAAUGCAAAUGCAAGUAAGGGGUGCAAAGGAUGUGGUGCUGAAAUCAAAAU